rnacentral:rRNA from 1 species
AUUGAACGCUGGCGGCAGGCUUAACACAUGCAAGUCGAGCGGAGAUGAGGUGCUUGCACCUUAUCUUAGCGGCGGACGGGUGAGUAAUGCUUAGGAAUCUGCCUAUUAGUGGGGGACAACAUUCCGAAAGGAAUGCUAAUACCGCAUACGUCCUACGGGAGAAAGCAGGGGACCUUCGGACCUUGCGCUAAUAGAUGAGCCUAAGUCGGAUUAGCUAGUUGGUGGGGUAAAGGCCUACCAAGGCGACGAUCUGUAGCGGGUCUGAGAGGAUGAUCCGCCACACUGGGACUGAGACACGGCCCAGACUCCUACGGGAGGCAGCAGUGGGGAAUAUUGGACAAUGGGGGGAACCCUGAUCCAGCCAUGCCGCGUGUGUGAAGAAGGCCUUAUGGUUGUAAAGCACUUUAAGUGAGGAGGAGGCUACUGAGACUAAUACUCUUGGAUAGUGGACGUUACUCGCAGAAUAAGCACCGGCUAACUCUGUGCCAGCAGCCGCGGUAAUAC